rnacentral:rRNA from 1 species
UACGGGGGGGGCAAGCGUUGUUCGGAAUUACUGGGCGUAAAGGGCUCGUAGGCGGCCAACUAAGUCGGACGUGAAAUCCCCAGGCUCAACCUGGGAACUGCGUCUGAUACUGGAUGGCUUGAAUUCGGGAGAGGGAUGCAGAAUUCCAGGUGUAGCGGUGAAAUGCGUAGAUAUCUGGAGGAACACCGGUGGCGAAGGCGGCAUCCUGGACCAACACUGACGCUGAGGAGCGAAAGCCAGGGGAGCAAACAGG